UGAGGAAUAUUGGACAAUGGGCGCAAGCCUGAUCCAGCCAUGCCGCGUGCAGGAAGAAGCAUCUAUGGUGUGUAAACUGCUUUUGUACGGGAAGAAACACCCCUUCGUGAAGGAGCUUGACGGUACCGUAAGAAUAAGGAUCGGCUAACUCUGUGCCAGCAGCCGCGGUAAUACGGAGGAUCCAAGCGUUAUCCGGAAUCAUUGGGUUUAAAGGGUCCGUAGGCGGUUUAGUAAGUCAGUGGUGAAAGCCCAUCGCUCAACGAUGGAACGGCCAUUGAUACUGCUAGACAUGAAGUAUUAGGAAGUAGCUAGAAUAUGUAGUGUAGCGGUGAAAUGCGUAGAUAUUACGUGGAAUACCAAUUGCGAAGGCAGGUUGCUACUGAUGGAUUGACGCUGAUGGACGAAAGCGUGGGGAGCGAACA
rnacentral:rRNA from 1 species